rnacentral:lncRNA from 1 species
GAACUUAUUAAAUAACAAAUGUGUUCCAACUACUUUGUAAUACAUUUGCUGUAUGUAUUUAUUACCGCAAACACAUAGUGAAUGUCUGGUGAAUGUCGAUCCUGAUUGUUACUGUAUACAAGAUGACUGUUUCAACAAGAAGUUUGAAAUAGAUUUUGACAACUGUAAAUUGACUGUUCCUGUAGACACUAUUGAUUUUGAAUCAUACUCUCUAUAUAUUACCACUGUUAACCGUGCCAUGUUAACUACUUCUAUUGUUAAAGAGGUAAGUCGAAAAAGAAAAUCUUAAACAAUUAAGUCUGUUGUGUCUUCGAAAUGAAUGCCAAUCAAAUAUAACACAACUACCUAAGUUUUCUUAGACAAAUAAACAUAGAUUAUUCAAAAAUUAUGGCAAAGUUAGAUAAAAAGAUACAAAAUGUACAUUGAAGUUAAAACAUUAAAGCUGUAAUAAUAAAAGAUAAAAAUAUGCUGAUAUAAAGGUCUUUUGCAACGUUAAUUUAACUGAGAAUCUUUUGUGUUAAGUGUUUUUACUUAUCGUUUUUGACUUAUAAAUUAAUCGUUUUUGUCAUGAUAAUAUCCGUGUUUCUUUGAUUUAUUAUUAUUUUAGUUUAAAUGUCUCUGUUUGAUUCUAAUAACGACUAACUACUAACCAGGAAGGUAUUUUUUUAGCAAUAAUAUAUAAUAAAAAAAAAAGAAAAACAUCUAAUGGCAAAGAAAUGAAUCACGAUACGACAAAGUUAUAUUAGCAUCACCUUAAUAAAUAAUGAAAAAAACGAAUAAUACUUAAUAAUAGUUUUAAGAUUUGAUCGAGGAAAACAUACGUGCGAAUAAGUUACAAAUCUACACCAGAUCCAUCACAAGUGAAUUACUCUUAAUAUUAGCACAACAAUGCUAGAUCUGAACAUUUGCAGAUGCAAAGUUUUAUUCUUUCCUCGCCGAGAUUCUGACCCAUGCUAUUGGGAUAUCACCACCUGUACUGUGUCCAGCGCUCUAGACCACUGUAGUCCUCUUGUUAAAUCAAAUCGUAAACUCUAGUAGAGUGCAUUUAUUGGAAAACGUUUCGCUCAAUUUGUAUAACACUUUACUUUCAGAUAGGAAGUGUGACUCAGUUUACUGGGAUACAACAAUGUAAGUAUCAAUAGUUAUCAAAUGUACCAGGCUUAUAAUUUACCACACCAGACGCGCGUUUUUUCCAUAAGACUCAUCAGUGACGCUCAGAUCAAAAUUGUAUAAAGCCAAACAAAUUGAAAAACUUUGGGAACCCAAAAUUCCAAAAAGUUGUGCCAAAUACGGUUAAGUUACUCUAUGAUAGCUAGCUAAACCUCUCACUUGUACGACAGUCGCAUGGAAUUAUUAAAAGUUUUUAAACUAAUGAUUCAACACAACCAUUUCUCUCUCUCUCUCUCUUUCACAUUUGGGCAUGUGUGGGAAUCUGAUGAUGAAUUCAUUUAGAUGUAACACAACUUGCAUUGUUUAUUAAUCUGUAGAAUUGCAAGAAAUAGAGAGAACAUUGCGAUGGAGUAAUCAGAAAAUGUAUCAGUAGACCAGACAACGCCAUGUCAUCAAUAAAAGCGAAAAAACAAAUAACAUUCCAUUUGACGAUUUUAACUUUUGAUGGCAUGUUUUAUUUGAAACAACUUUAAUGUACUAAAUAAUCAAACGACACCAUCAUAGCGUUUGUUUACAAAAAUACAGAACAGCAAAAUCCUUAUGUAAAUCCACACUAAAUGAAAAAAAAACUAAAAAUAUGAUAAUGAAUAAGAAAAAACUUAACAACUCUCAAGAAUUCUGACUUGAAACAAUUAAAUGACAAAGUGUUUUAGUGAAAUGAAAAAGAAAGUUGUUUUGAAUGAGUCACAUUACCUCAAUGGUUUAUUAAUCAGUUAAGUCAUAUUUAUCUUCAUGACAAACAUGGACAAAUAUGUUCCAAUCCCUGCUGACAUUCUUUGAGGCAUGGCUUGAAUGAUACCGAGCUUUGUGUAAAAAUUAUUUGAAAUAACAGAUAUCUUUACGCAUCUUGUAUUUGUUGUUUACCCUAAUAGUCAACUUAUUUCUUUGAUUUAGAUUCGAGUCCAUUUAAUAUUUCCAUUGUAAAAACGACUGAUAGGACUAUAACAAUUCAAUGGAAGCUAUUACCCACCUGCUACGAUAAACCUAUGUUGUAUUGAUUUCAGAUUCUCAUAACUCUUUUGGAAUAGUUUGUAUCAAGAACACGUUCCUCUAAACGAAAUACGGAUAGUGAGCAGAUGCACAUGAGUAAAGUAUUAAUUUUUUUAGAUAGUUUUGAGCAGAAGGUAUGUUACUGCUGAAAUAUUUAAACUUUAUAAUUAAAAAAUUGAAUUGAAGAAGGUU